GACGAACGCUGGCGGCGUGCUUAACACAUGCAAGUCGAGCGGUAAGGCCCUUUCGGGGGGUACACGAGCGGCGAACGGGUGAGUAACACGUGGGUGACCUGCCCUCAGCUCUGGGAUAAGCCUGGGAAACCGGGUCUAAUACUGGAUAUGACUCCAUGACGCAUGUUGUGGGGUGGAAAGCCUUGUGCGGCUGAGGAUGGGCCCGCGGCCUAUCAGCUUGUUGGUGGGGUGAUGGCCUACCAAGGCGACGACGGGUAGCCGGCCUGAGAGGGCGACCGGCCACACUGGGACUGAGACACGGCCCAGACUCCUACGGGAGGCAGCAGUGGGGAAUCUUGCGCAAUGGGCGAAAGCCUGACGCAGCGACGCCGCGUGAGGG
rnacentral:rRNA from 1 species